rnacentral:rRNA from 1 species
GACGAACGCUGGCGGCGUGCCUAAUACAUGCAAGUUGAGCGCUGAAGGUUGGUACUUGUACCGACUGGAUGAGCAGCGAACGGGUGAGUAACGCGUGGGGAAUCUGCCUUUGAGCGGGGGACAACAUUUGGAAACGAAUGCUAAUACCGCAUAAAAACUUUAAACACAAGUUUUAAGUUUGAAAGAUGCAAUUGCAUCACUCAAAGAUGAUCCCGCGUUGUAUUAGCUAGUUGGUGAGGUAAAGGCUCACCAAGGCGAUGAUACAUAGCCGACCUGAGAGGGUGAUCGGCCACAUUGGGACUGAGACACGGCCCAAACUCCUACGGGAGGCAGCAGUAGGGAAUCUUCGGCAAUGGACGAAAGUCUGACCGAGCAACGCCGCGUGAGUGAAGAAGGUUCUCGGAUCGUAAAACUCUGUUGGUAGAGAAGAACGUUGGUGAGAGUGGAAAGCUCAUCAAGUGACGGUAACUACCCAGAAAGGGACGGCUAACUACGUGCCAGCAGCCGCGGUAA